GAUCAUUUGCCUUUGGAGGCUUUUUACUUUGAAAGUAAAACAGAGGUGUUCGAGUCACUUAGUGGUUU
rnacentral:tRNA from 1 species